rnacentral:rRNA from 1 species
UACGGGGGGGGCAAGCGUUGUUCGGAAUUACUGGGCGUAAAGGGUUCGUAGGUGGCCAACUAAGUCAGACGUGAAAUCCCUCAGCUUAACUGAGGAACUGCGUCUGAUACUGGAUGGCUUGAGUGCAGGAGAGGAAUGCGGAAUUCCAGGUGUAGCGGUGAAAUGCGUAGAUAUCUGGAGGAACACCGGUGGCGAAGGCGGCAUUCUGGACUGCAACUGACACUGAGGAACGAAAGCCAGGGUAGCAAACGGG